AUUGAACGCUGGCGGAAUGCUUUACACAUGCAAGUCGAACGGCAGCACGGACUUCGGUCUGGUGGCGAGUGGCGAACGGGUGAGUAACAUAUCGGAACGUAUCCAAUAAUGGGGGAUAACUAAUCGAAAGGUUGGCUAAUACCGCAUACGCCCUACGGGGGAAAGCAGGGGAUCUUCGGACCUUGCGUUAAUGGAGCGGCUGAUAUCUGAUUAGCUAGUUGGUGAGGUAAAGGCUCACCAAGGCGACGAUCAGUAGCUGGUCUGAGAGGACGACCAGCCAGACUGGAACUGAAACACGGUCCAGACUCCUACGGGAGGCAGCAGUGGGGAAUUUUGGACAAUGGGCGCAAGCCUGAUCCAGCCAUUCCGCGUGAGUGAAGAAGGCCUUCGGGUUGUAAAGCUCUUUCGCAAGGGAAGAAAACUUACUUUCUAAUAAAGAGUGAGGUUGACGGUACCUUGAUAAGAAGCACCGGCUAACUACGUGCCAGCCGCCGCGGUAA
rnacentral:rRNA from 1 species